CUGCGAUCCUGGCAGUGUAGAGAAUCAGUGAGCAUGUGGGCAUGUGAUACUGGUGGACCUCUUCCAUGAAUGCCUCUAAUACUUUGAGACACAGUUCAUUUCACUCUAAGGUCCCAUACCUGUCAGAACUCACAGCAUAGUUAACAGCAGGCCUGUGGUUUCUAGAAGAGGCAAUGGCAACAGUGGCCCCUGGCUCCUUCAGUGGUGGUGGCAGAGACCCAUGAGGUGACCAAAACCAGCUGUUGUGGUGACUCAGCCCACAACACCCAUCAAGCACCCUCCUGGAACACGGUAGACCAAAGAUGCUCAAUAAAAGCAGCACAGCUGAAUGACUGAAUUCAGAGAGGCAUUUAGGAGCAAUUGGUAUCAAAGUCACUGCAAAUAUUGAGUAGCAAUGCAAGAACCUUCCAAGUGUCAUUCCUCAUCUCUUCCCUGUGAGAAAAGAAAAAUAGCUGAAAGCAGCCUGAGCUCUGUGAGGCAUGCAAAAUUUAUCAGGUCCAGGGACACAUGAGUGUGGGACCUCAGUCACGCCCACUGUCCC
rnacentral:lncRNA from 10 species